GACGAACGCUGGCGGCGUGCCUAAUACAUGCAAGUAGGACGCAGUUGCGAACGGUUGAGUAACGCGUAGGUCACUGCCUAUUAUAGGGGGAUAACUAUUGGAAACGUUAGCUAAUACCUCAUACUAGUAGAUGUACCUGCGUUGUAUUAGCUAGUAGGUAGGGUAAUGGGCUACCUAGGCGCCGAUACAUAGCCGACCGGAGAGGGUGAGCGGCCGCACGGGGACAGAGGAGCGGCCCGGACUCCCACGGGAGGCAGCAGUAGGGAGUCUUCGGCAAGGGGGGGAACCCUGACCGAGCAACGCCGCGUGAGUGAAGAAGGUUUUCGGAUCGUAAAGCUCUGUUGUUAAGGAAGCGGUACUUAACCAGAAAGGGACGGCUAACUACGUGCCAGCAGCCGCGGUAAUUC
rnacentral:rRNA from 1 species